CUCCUACGGGGGGCAGCAGUAGGGAAUCUUCCACAAUGGACGAAAGUCUGAUGGAGCAACGCCGCGUGAGUGAAGAAGGGUUUCGGCUCGUUAAACUCUGUUGGUAGUGAAGAAAGAUAGAGGUAGUAACUGGCCUUUAUUUUACGGUAAUUUCUUAGAAAGUCACGGCUAACUACGUGCCAGCAGCCGCGGUAAUACGUAUGUGGCGAGCGUUGUCCGGAUUUAUUGGGCGU
rnacentral:rRNA from 1 species